GACGAACGCUGGCGGCGUGCCUAAUACAUGCAAGUAGAACGCACAGUUUAUACCGUAGCUUGCUACACCAUAGACUGUGAGUUGCGAACGGGUGAGUAACGCGUAGGUAACCUGCCUGGUAGCGGGGGAUAACUAUUGGAAACGAUAGCUAAUACCGCAUAAUAUUGAUUAUUGCAUGAUAAUUGAUUGAAAGAUGCUAUUGCAUCACUACCAGAUGGACCUGCGUUGUAUUAGCUAGUAGGUGAGGUAACGGCUCACCUAGGCGACGAUACAUAGCCGACCUGAGAGGGUGAUCGGCCACACUGGGACUGAGACACGGCCCAGACUCCUACGGGAGGCAGCAGUAGGGAAUCUUCGGCAAUGGACGAAAGUCUGACCGAGCAACGCCGCGUGAGUGAAGAAGGUUUUCGGAUCGUAAAGCUCUGUUGUAAGAGAAGAACGGGU
rnacentral:rRNA from 1 species